rnacentral:pre_miRNA from 1 species
UAUGUACUCCCUCCGUUCCAAAUUACUCGUCGCAAAAAUGAAUGUAUCUAGAACUAAAAUACAUCUAGAUACAUCCAUACUUGCGACAAGUAAUUCGGAACGGAGGGAGUACAAG